CGAUUAUCAAUCAACUAGAUCUAUAAACUUCUCAACUUUGUUCGAUACUGGAUUUUGUAUUGCACCGUAAAGAUUCGACAAGUAGAAGAUAUUCGAUGCCUGGACGCAGAGGUAGAGGACGCAGGCUGAUUGCGUUCAAUUGAGAUAAAGUCGAAGAUUCACCAUCGUGUCCUUGCUACGUUCUGAAAGAAGGACUCACAAAUUCCUCUUCAAAGCUCCAUCAAUGUAGCCAGUUGAUGCCUUGAACAACUAGAAAUUGGAUAUGAAUGGGAUCUGGACUAAAACCUUAAUAAAAACUUGUAUGACUUUUGCAGGUA